AUUGAACGCUGGCGGCAGGCCUAACACAUGCAAGUCGAGCGGCAGCGGAAAGUAGCUUGCUACUUUGCCGGCGAGCGGCGGACGGGUGAGUAAUGUCUGGGAAACUGCCUGAUGGAGGGGGAUAACUACUGGAAACGGUAGCUAAUACCGCAUAACGUCGCAAGACCAAAGAGGGGGACCUUCGGGCCUCUUGCCAUCAGAUGUGCCCAGAUGGGAUUAGCUAGUAGGUGGGGUAACGGCUCACCUAGGCGACGAUCCCUAGCUGGUCUGAGAGGAUGACCAGCCACACUGGAACUGAGACACGGUCCAGACUCCUACGGGAGGCAGCAGUGGGGAAUAUUGCACAAUGGGCGCAAGCCUGAUGCAGCCAUGCCGCGUGUAUGAAGAAGGCCUUCGGGUUGUAAAGUACUUUCAGCGGGGAGGAAGGUGCUGAGGUUAAUAACCUCAGCAAUUGACGUUACCCGCAGAAGAAGCACCGGCUAACUCCGUGCCAGCCGCCGCCGUAAGAC
rnacentral:rRNA from 1 species